rnacentral:rRNA from 1 species
GUGAGGAAUAUUGGUCAAUGGGCGGGAGCCUGAACCAGCCAAGUCGCGUGAAGGAAGAAGGAUCUAUGGUUCGUAAACUUCUUUUGCAGGGGAAUAAAGUGCAGGACGUGUCCUGUUUUGUAUGUACCCUGAGAAUAAGGAUCGGCUAACUCCGUGCCAGCAGCCGCGGUAAUACGGAGGAUCCGAGCGUUAUCCGGAUUUAUUGGGUUUAAAGGGUGCGUAGGUGGUUUGAUAAGUCAGCGGUGAAAGUUUGCAGCUUAACUGUAAAAAUGCCGUUGAAACUGUCGGACUUGAGUGUAAAUGAGGUAGGCGGAAUGCGUGGUGUAGCGGUGAAAUGCAUAGAUAUCACGCAGAACUCCGAUUGCGAAGGCAGCUUGCCAAGCCACAACUGACACUGAAGCACGAAAGCGUGGGGAUCAAACAGGAUUAGAAACCCGGGUAGUCC